UAUCGGCAGGUUGGGGGAGGGGACGAGAACGAAGCAGGGUCAAUAGCUCAGAAUGACAGCUAUACCAGUUUAACUCCAGACAUCACGCCCGCUACAUCUCACCUCUCCAGUCACCACGCCACUACGCCACCACCGACCCCUCGAGUCUACGCAGCCCGGUGUCCGUCUGUGUCUUGUCGUCGGGCGUGACGUGCAGCAAAGGCGGUAACAGCAACGGGAAGUUUUAUCUACGUGAUGGAGGUUUUUCGUGCGGCGAGGUGACGUGCCGCUGCUGUGAGAUUAACGGACCACCCCAUUCCACAGCCACAGCACAGCACAGCACAGCGGAGAGGUUGGGGUCACCACGCCACCACCGACCCCGAGUUGGUGAUACAAAGGCCGCCCCACAGCCGCUACUGCUACUCGGAGGGUUUCUGCCUUGCAUCGGGCCUUCACUGCCGGCCUGCUAACACGUGCCGCCGUCGCCGCUACUGACAGGAAUUUCGCCUCGCAGCGGCCUGGCAAACACCUGCUACAUUACCGCUGCUGCUGCCGUCCAGUGAAAGAUUCAUCUCGGACAUCCUGCCAUUCAACGCCUGCUGCCACCACCACCACCUCCUUAUGGUGCUGUCACUGUACUGAAGCUGUUGUCAUGAUUGAAUAAUAAAUUGUGAAGAAAUCUU
rnacentral:misc_RNA from 1 species